rnacentral:lncRNA from 1 species
CUGCUGCAGGGGAUCCUUCCAAGGCGAAAGGGGAGGCAUUUCUUUACGUCUGGCUCAUGUCUGAAUCGUAAUGGGCAGGGACCCAAGAGAGGACUUUCCUGGUGGUUGUUCCCAGGCAUGUCUGGCCCAUACAGUGUGUCUCUGAUGAGCUGCUGCUUUCAGGCAAAGGCUUCUUGAUUCAGAAAGUAGAUGGAUACUCUGAACUACCUUGCAAGGGUGAUGUCUUCCUCUCUUAGUGCCAGUGUGUCUGUUCCCUCACAAUAAGGGAACAUUAUAAUAAUAUAAGGAAUAAUAUAUAAUAUAAUAUAAUAUAAACGUGAGGAAAUAAGGGAAUAUGCCGGACUACAACACAGGGUUGUUGUGCACGCACCUGAGCCGUGGCUGAGAGUGGCUCGUGAGAACCCUUCAGUGCCGUCCGCGGUUCAUGCUGCAGGAAAGAGUGAAGCUGCUUUGGAAAGCUGGCUGGAUUCGCUGGAAGCAGCGGCCCCCCUUUCUCCUGCCUAAACUGUCGCGGGUGCCACCUUAGCCUUCCGUGCAUGCAACGACACGUGGAAGGAAACUUCCCUUUGCAUGUUGCAGCUCCCCUUUGAAGCUGCAGCUCAAAUCCUGAAGGAGCCCUUGCUUUCGAAGGACAGCUUUUCCGUUUGCACAAGAAAUAGAACAGAUUUAGACCCUGAAGUUCUACGAUUGUGUCACUCUAAGUUUUUGCUUCUAUGGUGGCAUCGAAAUGAAAGGGGGAGCGGAAGGUGUUCGCGAAUAAGCCAUCGGCAAGCCCGGGAGACAGCGGCCAAUAAACGGUCCGAAGGGGGCUCGAUCACGUGGUGCCCUUCGUUGCUCCGUCAAAGACAUCUUGGCCGCUGGCAGAGGGCCGCGAGCCGGCCGGCCAAUGAGCCAUCCUGGCGCUCUCUCACGUGGGCCCUCGCGUCACCUGGGGCGUCGCAGCCUCAGCGCCUCCCUCCUCGCGCUGGCCAAGACGCGCCUCAUGCGGCGCGGGGCGCUGUACGCCUUGGCUCUGGGCUGGGCGGCCGCCUGGCUGUGGGGUCGCGGGUUCGAUCCCCGGCCGUGGCUCUGGUGGACUCGCGAUGCGGCGCCGGUGCUGAGCGCCGCCGAGCUGGGGCGCUGCACGGGGGCGGAGGGAAGCGCCGGGCUGUACCUGGCUGUGCUGGGGCAGGUCUUCGACGUGCAGCGGGGACGCAGGCACUACGGGCCCGGGGGGGCGUACAGCUUCUUCGCAGGGAAAGAUGCAACCAGGGCUUUUGCAACUGGCGACUUCACCCCAGAGGGGCUGGUGGAUGA